rnacentral:misc_RNA from 1 species
CCAYAGAAGYYCCCWMWAAMAAUGGCUAAGCMCCCCCAGUYUUAGUGUAUWGGAGUUAUUGAAAAAUAAGGGAGCAAUACCCCCUUCUUGUUCUAUCAAGAGGGCAAUAUUGCUCCUUUUUUUCUUUUUUUUUGUACAUUAUCAAAAAUGAAAAUAUCUCAGAAAAAAAAAAUGGUAGAAAGAAUAUUCUAAAUAAAAUAGAAUUUUCAUUUUAAAUGAAAUUUCUUAUUCUUAAUAUUAAUCUAAAUAUAUUAAUAUAAAUAAUAUAUUAAUAUAAAUAGAAGAAAGAAAUAUUA